AGCUUGCUCCCGGAUGUUAGCGGCGGACGGGUGAGUAACACGUGGGUAACCUGCCUGUAAGACUGGGAUAACUCCGGGAAACCGGAGCUAAUACCGGAUAGUUCCUUGAACCGCAUGGUUCAAGGAUGAAAGACGGUUUCGGCUGUCACUUACAGAUGGACCCGCGGCGCAUUAGCUAGUUGGUGAGGUAACGGCUCACCAAGGCGACGAUGCGUAGCCGACCUGAGAGGGUGAUCGGCCACACUGGGACUGAGACACGGCCCAGACUCCUACGGGAGGCAGCAGUAGGGANUCUUCCGCAAUGGACGAAAGUCUGACGGAGCAACGCCGCGUGAGUGAUGAAGGUUUUCGGAUCGUAAAGCUCUGUUGUUAGGGAAGAAACAAGUGCAAGAGUAACUGCUUGCACCUUGACGGUACCUAACCAGAAAGCCACGGCUAACUACGUGCCAGCAGCCGCGGUAAUACGUAGGUGGCAAGCGUUGUCCGGAAUUAUUGGGCGUAAAGGGCUCGCAGGCGGUUUCUUAAGUCUGAUGUGAAAGCCCCCGGCUCAACCGGGGAGGGUCAUUGGAAACUGGGAAACUUGAGUGCAGAAGAGGAGAGUGGAAUUCCACGUGUAGCGGUGAAAUGCGUAGAGAUGUGGAGGAACACCAGUGGCGAAGGCGACUCUCUGGUCUGUAACUGACGCUGAGGAGCGAAAGCGUGGGGAGCGAACAGGAUUAGAUACCCUGGUAGUCCACGCCGUAAACGAUGAGUGCUAAGUGUUAGGGGGUUUCCGCCCCUUAGUGCUGCAGCUAACGCAUUAAGCACUCCGCCUGGGGAGUACGGUCGCAAGACUGAAACUCAAAGGAAUUGACGGGGGCCCGCACAAGCGGUGGAGCAUGUGGUUUAAUUCGAAGCAACGCGAAGAACCUUACCAGGUCUUGACAUCCUCUGACAACCCUAGAGAUAGGGCUUUCCCUUCGGGGACAGAGUGACAGGUGGUGCAUGGUUGUCGUCAGCUCGUGUCGUGAGAUGUUGGGUUAAGUCCCGCAACGAGCGCAACCCUUGAUCUUAGUUGCCAGCAUUCAGUUGGGCACUCUAAGGUGACUGCCGGUGACAAACCGGAGGAAGGUGGGGAUGACGUCAAAUCAUCAUGCCCCUUAUGACCUGGGCUACACACGUGCUACAAUGGACAGAACAAAGGGCUGCGAGACCGCAAGGUUUAGCCAAUCCCACAAAUCUGUUCUCAGUUCGGAUCGCAGUCUGCAACUCGACUGCGUGAAGCUGGAAUCGCUAGUAAUCGCGGAUCAG
rnacentral:rRNA from 2 species